rnacentral:rRNA from 1 species
UACGUAGGGUGCAGGCGUUAAUCGGAAUUACUGGGCGUAAAGCGUGCGCAGGCGGUUUCUUAAGUCAGAUGUGAAAGCCCCGGGCUUAACCUGGGAACUGCGUUUGAAACUGGGAGACUCGAGUGUGGCAGAGGGGGGUGGAAUUCCACGUGUAGCAGUGAAAUGCGUAGAUAUGUGGAGGAACACCGAUGGCGAAGGCAGCCCCCUGGGUUAACACUGACGCUCACGCACGAAAGCGUGGGGAGCAAACAGG